rfam:Camelus ferus unplaced genomic scaffold scaffold313, whole genome shotgun sequence.
GAGGAUAUAGCUCAAGUGGUAGAGCACAUGCCUAGCAUGCACAGGGUCCUGGGUUCAAUCCCCAGUACCUCCU